AACGAACGCUGGCGGCAUGCCUAACACAUGCAAGUCGAACGAGGCCUUGGGGUCCAUUUGCGCACGGGUGCGUAACGCGUGGGAACCUGCGUUUAGGGUCGGAAUAACUCCCCCAAAGGGGGGCUAACACCGGGAAAUUGUUGCUGAUCCAAGAUAUUUCGGCUUUGUAUGGGGCCGCGUUGGGUUAGGUUGUUGGUAGGGUGAAAGCCUAGCAAGGCGACGAUCAGUAGCUGGCCUGGGAGGAUGAUCAGCCACACGGGGACUGAGACACGGCCCGGACUCCUACGGGACGAAGCAGUGGAGACUAUUGCACAGUCGGCGAGAGCCUGAUCCAGCACUGCCGCGUGAGUGAUGAAGGCCUUAGGGUUGUAAAGCUCUUUUACCCGGGAUGAUAAUGACAGUACCGGGAGAAUAAGCUCCGGCUAACUCCGUG
rnacentral:rRNA from 1 species